rnacentral:rRNA from 1 species
CACGUAGGGCGCGAGCGUUGUCCGGAAUUACUGGGCGUAAAGGGCGCGUAGGCGGACAGUUUAGUCAGAGGUGAAAGCCCAGGGCUCAACCUUGGAAUUGCCUUUGAUACUGACUGUCUUGAGUUCGGGAGAGGUGAGUGGAAUGCCGAGUGUAGAGGUGAAAUUCGUAGAUAUUCGGCGGAACACCAGUGGCGAAGGCGACUCACUGGCCCGAUACUGACGCUGAGGCGCGAAAGCGUGGGGAGCAAACAGGG